GGGCCUGUAGCUCAGUGGUAGAGCAAGAUCCUUAUAAGGUCGAGGUCGAAGGUCCGAUCCCUUCCAGGCCCA
rnacentral:tRNA from 1 species